UACGUAGGGUGCGAGCGUUAAUCGGAAUUACUGGGCGUAAAGCGUGCGCAGGCGGUGAUGUAAGACAGAUGUGAAAUCCCCGGGCUCAACCUGGGACCUGCAUUUGUGACUGCAUUGCUGGAGUGCGGCAGAGGGGGAUGGAAUUCCGCGUGUAGCAGUGAAAUGCGUAGAUAUGCGGAGGAACACCGAUGGCGAAGGCAAUCCCCUGGGCCUGCACUGACGCUCAUGCACGAAAGCGUGGGGAGCAAACAGG
rnacentral:rRNA from 1 species